GACUUUAAAUGUUUUAUUUUGUUGAUUCUGUACAGCGUCAGGAAACAAGGUUAGAAGUAAAAUAAAAGUGCCAAUUAAAUUCAGCUGCUACCAACAACCAAAACCUUAAACGUAGAAAAAAAUCAAAGCAAACUGCGGAAAGGUCAUAGCAUAACCUCGGGUAAAGGAAUUUGUUAACGUCUGUAACAAAUCGAAACUGACUACGUAUGUAGCUCUUCAACUGCAAGACGGCGAGGAGGAAGACUUGCGGGCCGCGCUGGUCAAGGGCCCGGCCCGCUGAGGAACAGCGGAAAGCGCCUUGCCGCCGUCGCCACUGCAGCUGGGAUCCGCCGAGCAGCGGGCGGUUCAGGGCUCCCGGUCCUCCUGCGUGUCUUUUAAUGAGAACGUUAAUUAGCGAUCUUGACAGGACGGCGACUGUGAAACGCCUGGUUACCUAUUUUAGUAAAUCGGGAACACUGCGUGCAAGGCGGUUGGUUUUCGUUUUUAAGCAAGCUUAAAUGUUGGUUACGCUACUUUUGGGGAAAGGGAGGCAAAAGGUGAAUCUCGAGUUCUAAGUUGCCUUCUAACAAACCCCCAGGAUUCAAGAGCGAAAAUUAUCUGCGACAAAACACUGGUUGCGCGAGUGUUAAAUACAGUUCUCCAAACAGCUGGUCUACAAAAGCGGACCCAAGUCCCAACCCAGCGCAUCCUGCGUUGUCCUCGCCCCUACCCACCGCACCCGGACGCCGACCACCUGUCCGCCGAGGGUCCGUCCGUCUGCCACGUCCCAGACCGUCCGCACCGCCUAACUGGUCUUUUUCUGCCUCUUGAGGUCCGGCAGCCUCCUUUGAUAGGACCUGGCCGGCGGGAACAAGGGCGCCCGUGGCCUCUGGCCGAGGAGAAGGAAAAGAACCCUCCCUCCGCCCCCGCCGCUGCUCGAGCGCAGCCCCUAGUACUGAGAGCCGGAGUGCUUCGCUCCGGGGAGGUCACGCUCGGGGAUGGCCUCUCGCCGCACCCAGGGCGCGCCAACCACGGCAUGGCGCCCUCAAUUCUACAUCGGCCCCGCGAAGCGCGCAACUCCAGGGACAGGGAGAGAGAUGUGCUGGGUGAGAGUGAGCACUUUCUGCCUAAAGCCGCUGGAACCGACCCAGAACCCCAAACAGCCCCGAGGCGCCAUCGAACAACCGCUCCGGUCACUUUAACUUCCCAGGGGUGGGGGCGGGGAAGGGGGUGCCCGACAGUCCCUUCCUCUGGACUGGAAGGUUCGAAAUGCUCUCCUUGCUCGGCCUCGCUCUCCCUGACGCAGGGAGCAGGGGCGCGGAGAAGCUGAGCGGAGGGAGGCCGGGCCGAGGUCGCGCCCCAGGCCCAGGCUGGCCCUCACUUGGAGAACUGCGCCUGCACGGCGGCCAGGCCCAGGCUGGCCGGGACCAGGUGCGGGAACUUGC
rnacentral:lncRNA from 1 species